GGCGUAGUCGAUGGGAAACAGGUUAAUAUUCCUGUACUUGGUGUUACUGCGAAGGGGGGACGGAGAAGGCUAUGUUGGCCGGGCGACGGUUGUCCCGGUUUAAGCGUGUAGGCUGGUUUUCCAGGCAAAUCCGGAAAACCAAGGCUGAGGCGUGAUGACGAGGCACUACGGUGCUGAAGCGACAAAUGCCCUGCUUCCAGGAAAAGCCUCUAAGCAUCAGGUAACAUCAAAUCGUACCCCAAACCGACACAGGUGGUCAGGUAGAGAAUACCAAGGCGCUUGAGAGAACUCGGGUGAAGGAACUAGGCAAAAUGGUGCCGUAACUUCGGGAGAAGGCACGCUGAUAUGUAGGUGAAGCGACUUGCUCGUGGAGCUGAAAUCAGUCGAAGAUACCAGCUGGCUGCAACUGUUUAUUAAAAACACAGCACUGUGCAAACACGAAAGUGGACGUAUACGGUGUGACGCCUGCCCGGUGCCGGAAGGUUAAUUGAUGGGGUUAGCGGUAACGCGAAGCUCUUGAUCGAAGCCCCGGUAAACGGCGGCCGUAACUAUAACGGUCCUAAGGUAGCGAAAUUCCUUGUCGGGUAAGUUCCGACCUGCACGAAUGGCGUAAUGAUGGCCAGGCUGUCUCCACCCGAGACUCAGUGAAAUUGAACUCGCUGUGAAGAUGCAGUGUACCCGCGGCAAGACGGAAAGACCCCGUGAACCUUUACUAUAGCUUGACACUGAACAUUGAGCCUUGAUGUGUAGGAUAGGUGGGAGGCUUUGAAGUGUGGACGCCAGUCUGCAUGGAGCCGACCUUGAAAUACCACCCUUUAAUGUUUGAUGUUCUAACGUUGGCCCGUAAUCCGGGUUGCGGACAGUGUCUGGUGGGUAGUUUGACUGGGGCGGUCUCCUCCUAAAGAGUAACGGAGGAGCACGAAGGUUGGCUAAUCCUGGUCGGACAUCAGGAGGUUAGUGCAAUGGCAUAAGCCAGCUUGACUGCGAGCGUGACGGCGCGAGCAGGUGCGAAAGCAGGUCAUAGUGAUCCGGUGGUUCUGAAUGGAAGGGCCAUCGCUCAACGGAUAAAAGGUACUCCGGGGAUAACAGGCUGAUACCGCCCAAGAGUUCAUAUCGACGGCGGUGUUUGGCACCUCGAUGUCGGCUCAUCACAUCCUGGGGCUGAAGUAGGUCCCAAGGGUAUGGCUGUUCGCCAUUUAAAGUGGUACGCGAGCUGGGUUUAGAACGUCGUGAGACAGUUCGGUCCCUAUCUGCCGUGGGCGCUGGAGAACUGAGGGGGGCUGCUCCUAGUACGAGAGGACCGGAGUGGACGCAUCACUGGUGUUCGGGUUGUCAUGCCAAUGGCACUGCCCGGUAGCUAAAUGCGGAAGAGAUAAGUGCUGAAAGCAUCUAAGCACGAAACUUGCCCCGAGAUGAGUUCUCCCUGACUCCUUGAGGGUCCUGAAGGAACGUUGAAGACGACGACGUUGAUAGGCCGGGUGUGUAAGCGCAGCGAUGCGUUGAGCUAACCGGUACUAAUGAACCGUGAGGCUUAACC
rnacentral:rRNA from 1 species